CAUACGGUAUGGAUACUGUUUCUCCAUCUAAGUCCCAGGGUUUUCAGAUUGAUUUGUUGUUCUGGACAUUGACAUCUGUGCUGUGCCAGUGAGAGUCUAUACUGAAAGAUGCUGAAUUAAGUGUGAAUUUGUUCAUGGCCUCAAAAGGUAUUUAAUUUCUUUGAACUGUGUAGAGUUUCUCAGACUGGUGGUGCUAUAAAUACCAUGUAUUAAAUAGCCUCUUAAGAACAAAAGCUACUUUUCUUACUGUAUAAUAAAAGAACCUGUCCCCAGGGGCUGUUUGAUUGCU
rnacentral:lncRNA from 1 species